AAUCAAUUAUUUUAAAAAUUAAAAAUAAAAAAAACCCUAUUCUCUUCUUCUUCUCACGAUGGAUGCUACCAUAUUCUCUUCUUCUCACUUCUCACGAUGGUCACCGGAAAACAUGGCUCCCUUCUACUUCGCGACGCUCACCAGAGAAGGCUGCUACCCAAUAUUGCAUCUAUUUCAACUUUCGUCGUUGUUGUAAAACCGCACGACGGUGUUUUAAUUCCUAACCUCGACGGCAGAAGCUCGGUGAUAUUGAUUAAUAGCUGACGGUGGCCGAACGGAUUUUACAACGAUGGAAUGAAUAUGAGACAGAGCUUAGGAUUCAGAUGAUUUUGGAUGAAUUCAUGUCUUUGAUGUAACAAGUGAAAGCAAGAGAAGUAGACAAAGCAAGUAUUACUAAAGUCAUACAAGAAACAUAGAGAAAGAAUUGACACAAGUUGUAUUAAAUUGUAAUAUUUACUACUGAAACAUAGAGGCUGGAUAUGUUGCACAUAAUUCAUACAAGAAAUGCAGAGAAAGAAUUGACACAAGAAGUGUCUUGCUAUUUGGUUUGCAAACUUUGUCUAAGCUAUAGUAGUUUGGCUUGUUUUUGCCUAUAGUAGUUUGAAUUGUAAUAUUUACUACUGAAGUGUCUUGCUAUUUUUUCUUUAAGGCUAGUUUGGAAUAUUAUAGCACAAUGCUUAUACUACUGCUGCUACAUGUGUUGUAAUAUAAUGAAGCAUAAUGCUAUUCAAAUAAUUUGUUAACCAAUUUGAGGUUUUCUGA